GGCGCAUUAGCUCAAAUGGAUAGAGCACGAACCUUCUAAGUUCGGGGUUAUUCGUUCGAUUCGAAUAUGCGUCACCA
rnacentral:tRNA from 1 species